CACUUUUUAUCUCAUAAUGAUGAUAUCCCAAUUUUCUAUUAAUCUCGUAAUUUCUUGAGAUGCAAGUAAAUACAAUGGAUCAUGACAGAUUUACAGUUGAUAUUUACGAGCUCAAAUUGUUUAUAACGAAAAGGGAUAUAUUUUGGGCAAUGAAUCUGUAACGCUCUUUCAUCAGGUGACCUUUACACAAGAUAAGCACAAGGAAUCCACGACUGAUCAGUCUUGUUGAGAAUUUGAGAAAGCAAAGUGAUUUUAUUUCUAUUCCUAACAUUGGACAAAUUGGGUUAAUAAUAUGUAAUAUAAGGAUUGUGCACAUUUCGAUGGUUUCUCUCUGAGUCGUUUUUUUUUUUUU
rnacentral:misc_RNA from 1 species